rnacentral:rRNA from 1 species
CCUACGGGAGGCAGCAGUGGGGAAUAUUGGACAAUGGGGGGGACCCUGAUCCAGCCAUGCCGCGUGUGUGAAGAAGGCCCUCGGGUUGUAAAGCACUUUCAGUGAGGAAGAACGCCUGGUGGUUAAUACCCAUCAGGAAAGACAUCACUCACAGAAGAAGCACCGGCUAACUCCGUGCCAGCAGCCGCGGUAAUACGGAGGGUGCGAGCGUUAAUCGGAAUUACUGGGCGUAAAGCGCGCGUAGGUGGCUUGAUAAGCCGGUUGUGAAAGCCCCGGGCUCAACCUGGGAACGGCAUCCGGAACUGUCAAGCUAGAGUGCAGGAGAGGAAGGUAGAAUUCCCGGUGUAGCGGUGAAAUGCGUAGAGAUCGGGAGGAAUACCAGUGGCGAAGGCGGCCUUCUGGACUGACACUGACACUGAGGUGCGAAAGCGUGGGUAGCAAACAGGAUUAGAUACCCCUGUAGUC